AGAACGAAGAAAGUCCUUGCACUGGAAAAGAUUUGAUCGUUCGUCGAUCUUUGUGGAUCCUGAUGAGCGUUUCUUCGUGGAUUUUCGGGGUUUUGUUAUCUGGAAUAUGCAGUAAUGAUAGACCCUAUAUAGAAUUGAGAAAAUCAGCUGGAUUGUUUGAUGAUUCUCUGAUCAGAGGCUGGGAUACUAUAUUAGCAAGUGAAAUUGCAGAAAACUGCGGUGUUUCGAAAGAGGCGAAGGAGAUAAAUGAAGUGAUAACUGGUUUGAAGGAAGCAGUGGCUAAUGGUAAUGUUGAUGAAUUUGCGAUUGACUUGAAGAGAAGAUUGGAGGAUUUAGAAGAAUUGAUGCAGAAAAUUGGGAAGAAAACAAAUGAUCUGUUCUCAGAAGUUUUGGCUGAACGAGGUAAAUUCCUCGAUAGCCUUAAGCACACUAGAAAGUAGAACAUAGCAAGUGAAUUCUUUUGUAAAUUUGGACAUGUAUAAACUGGUUGUGAAAAGAUUUAUCACUGUUAAAAGUAUUGAAA
rnacentral:misc_RNA from 1 species